CCUAUCUUAAGUGGCAAGUAUUUCAGCCAUGUGUAAUUCAGGAAUGUGGUCAUGUUUAAACAGCCAACCACAGGUUUAUGGCAACAGCAAAAUCCUCUCCUUCAAGGGUAUGUCGGAUAAGUGGGCAGCAAUCGAGACACGAUAAAUCGAUCCCUGAGCGCUCUCCCGUCAUCUCCUGCUUGGCGAGAGGCGCAGGCAGAGUCGAUGGGGGAGUGACAGCAGUUGACUCACCGUAGUGAAGACACCGCGGUAGAAUCCAGGAAGCAGACUGAAGAGGACUUGUUCAGAGGAAUUCCUCAAAGCAUGACUGCACACACACGACUUUAGUUUUGGAAUUAAAUGGAAGCACUGGGAGUCUUUUGCUUCAAGACUGAGCAUUAGUGAGCUGCAAUCAACAGACACCAUUGUCAUCAACUAAAGCUCACUCAUGCACUAACAUGGAUAGAACACAGACUGUUUGCUCCUAAAACAUAGAUGAGAUAAGAGACUAUGCAUUAGCUAUCUAUAGAAUUAAAGUUUUUAAUUCUUUGUGUGGGCUAGUUACUGGAGGACGUGUCCUCACAAACACCAAGCCAACAUUUUACAAAAGAUCAACUACAUAUGCAAGCUUGUAUCUUUGUUGCAUAUUUGUGAAUUCCUGCAUAAUAGGGCCCUGAUCCCCAGAAGCCCCCAUAAUAUAAAAAAUAAAAUUAAUAAUAAUAUGCUUGGAACCCUAGACAGACACUCUCUAUAAUUUGAAUUGUAACAUUUUGGGCUUAGAGUCAUUACAUGUCCUUUCCCCACCUGUUGACUCUUCUCCCAAAGAUAUUGCAAGGUCACAUUUUCUACAUAUUCCAUUGUGCAAAGUUUUGAUCCAAAUGCUUCCCGGAUCCUGUU